rnacentral:rRNA from 1 species
UACGUAGGGGGCAAGCGUUAUCCGGAAUUACUGGGCGUAAAGCGCACGCAGGCGGUUCGCCAAGUUUGGAGUGACAGUUGUCGGCUCAACCAACAAAGGACUUCAAAAACUGGUGAACUUGAGGACGAGAGAGGAACAUGGAACUCCAGGUGUAGUAGUGAAAUGCGUAGAUAUCUGGAAGAACACCAAUGGCGAAGGCAAUGUUCUGGCUCGUUUCUGACGCUCAGGUGCGAAAGCCAGGGGAGCGAACGGG